rnacentral:rRNA from 1 species
CCUACGGGAGGCAGCAGUGGGGAAUAUUGCGCAAUGGGCGAAAGCCUGACGCAGCGACGCCGCGUGAGGGAUGAAGGCCUUCGGGUCGUAAACCUCUUUCAGCAGGGAAGAAGCGCAAGUGACGGUACCUGCAGAAGAAGCACCGGCUAACUACGUGCCAGCAGCCGCGGUAAUACGUAGGGUGCAAGCGUUGUCCGGAAUUAUUGGGCGUAAGGAGCUCGUAGGCGGUCUGUCGCGUCUGCUGUGAAAACCCUAGGGCUUAACUCUGGGCGUGCAGUGGGUACGGGCAGACUAGAGUGCGGUAGGGGAGACUGGAAUUCCUGGUGUAGCGGUGAAAUGCGCAGAUAUCAGGAGGAACACCGGUGGCGAAGGCGGGUCUCUGGGCCGUAACUGACGCUGAGGAGCGAAAGCAUGGGGAGCGAACAGGAUUAGAUACCCUGGUAGUCCAUGCCGUAAACGUUGGGCGCUAGGUGUGGGGCACGAUUCCACGUGUUCUGUACCGCAGCUAACGCAUUAAGCGCCCCGCCUGGGGAGUACGGCCGCAAGGCUAAAACUUAAGGAAUUGACG